AUUAUUCGGUCGCACAACUCCUCCUCCUCUUCUCUCUCUCUUUCUCUCUUUUUCUCCCCCUUUCUCUCUAUUAUUGCGCCGCCCAACACCUCUUCUCUCUCUUUUUCUCUCUUUCUCUACUUCCCUGCCCCAAUCUCUAGGAAUAAUAGAUCUGCAACGGUGGUGGCCAUUUCAGACGCGCUUGUGCGGCGGCGGCGAUGUCCCUAACUCGUCUUGGUUGGGGGAGUGGCGAUUGCAUCACGGAAGGGUUGGCGAGUAUGUGCGUAGAUAUUUUCGUUGUUUUUUUAGCAGUGGCUAGGGCUGGUUAUGAUGAAUUCAUGGUAUGUGUGCGUUGAAUUGCAUAUACAACGGGGAUGGUGGCUGGUCUACGUUUGCUAGCGGUGCUAGGGUUCCAAAUGGCAAAAGUAGGGUUUUGAAAAUGACCCUAGUUGUCUACGAGACUACGAGUGUCUAACAACGUUGUGAAUUGAAGAAUCAACUAUUAUUGAAAACAUUUUUUUGACUAAUUGCAUAUGAAUCUGAUUAUCUUUUAAGAUGUUUUGCUUGGUAUGAUCGCUAGAGUUUGGCGGCAGCUGCGUUUGGCUGCUAGGGUUGGCGACAGCUGAGAGUUGUUGGCGGCUAGGCUUUGAUAGUACAUCAUAGUAAAACAUAGUAUACCGUAGUAUACAAUUGUACUAUACUAUAGUAUAUCGUAGUAUACUAUAGUCUACUAC